GCUGUUAAGGGUUCGUAGUUGAACUGGGGGUUGUCAAGGAAACGACAAAGUCCUCUUCCCUGUGAAGUGCGACCGUCGCUCUUACAACUCGUGAACAUUAGAAACAGAAUCCACGGGAUUGGACCUCCCUUCAUCUCGCAUGCAAUGCAUGCCGGGGGGCGCCCGUGAAACUUACUGUGCAAAAGAAGUGCGACCAAAGCAGUCAAACGACAUGAAUUAGAAAGCAUGGGAUAACAAGGAGCAACCUGCGGAUUACCGUUUCGGCUUUUGUUGGUUUUAAAGGUCUGUGGGAGACUUGGGUUGUUGUGAACAAGCGUUUCGGGCUCAGUCCCGGCGUUUUCUGCCCAACCCACGUGGUUGCGGUGGCACGGCCGCCCAGGAAUGAAGGAGGGUUGUUCGGGGGAGAACGUACUUGACGUGAGAGGUGAAAUUCUUAGACCGUUCAAAGACGAACUACAGCGAAGGCAUUCUCCAGGAUACCUUCCUCAAUCAAGAACCGGAGUGUGGAGAUCGAAGAUGAUUAGAUACCAUUGUGUGC
rnacentral:rRNA from 1 species